rnacentral:rRNA from 1 species
CCUACGGGAGGCUGCAGUGGGGAAUAUUGCACAAUGGGGGAAACGCUGAUGCAGCAACGCCGCGUGAGGGAAGGAGUAUUUCGGUAGGUAAAGCUCUAUCAGCAGGGAAGAGAAUGACGGUACCUGACUAAGAAGCCCCGGCGAACUACGUGCCAGCAGCCGCGGUAAUACGUAGGGGGCGAGCGUAAUCCGGAUUUACUGGGUGUAAAGGGAGCGUAGACGGUUUGGCAAGUCUGAAGUGAAAGCCCGUGGCUUAACCGCGGAACGGCUGUGGAAACUGUGGAACUGGAGUGCUGUAGAGGCGAGCGGAAUUCGUAGUGUAGCGGUGAAAUGCGUAGAUAUUAGGAGGAACACCAGUGGCGAAGGCGGCUUGCUGGACAGUAACUGACGUUGAGGCUCGAAAGCGUGGGGAGCAAACAGGAUUAGAUACCCUUGUAGUC